CAAGUGGAAGUUUCUAGAUGGUGUGAAAACUUCUGGUGCUCCACCUCCUAGAUCGGUUACAGUUCAGCAACGUGUCCGUGAUAUGCAGGUUCUGGAAGCCUUGUGUGAAUAUACAUCUCGGACUAAGAAAUAUCAACCUUCGAAACCCGUUGUCUGCUUAUGCACGGCCGUUAUUGUCGGGGUUUUAGGUUCUGUCACGGCUGUGAUAUCGUGAUGCGGAUUCUGCCAUUUGUGGACUCUGGUUUUCAACCUGGUGUGAGAGAUGGUUCAGAUCACCAGGCUGGUGCUUUGAUGAUUGCUGGCCUACUGGCCAACAAAUCCAUGCUGAACCAUAAUCUUGUCACACGCUUUAUAUAGUCCAUCUCUGAGAUAGCAUAUGAACAUGCUAAAGAUUCCUCUGAUCCUCAAUGGCUUCGGUUGUCAUUCACGGCGUUAAUUAAUUUUGUUCAGUUGCAAUCUGUUGACGUCAUCCCAAAGAAGGCUUUGAAUCUUUUAAAGGAAAUAAGGUAGUCCUUGAAGGUCGACUUGGCUCAGCGAUAAAACCAUUUACCGUGGGGUCUGAGGUCGCGA